GGGGAUAUGGCGAAAUGGUAGACGCAGCGGACUCAAAAUCCGUAGGUUUCGGCUGUGAGGGUUCAACUCCCUCUAUCCCCA
rnacentral:tRNA from 1 species